AGUAUUAAGCCUGUGUGUAGUGGUCAUUUUGCAGGAUUUCAGACACAAUAUAAAUAUUAAAAAUCUGCCAAUGAUCACUAGGCUUAAGUUGGCAAAAUGCAGACAAUGUUCCUUGAGGGAAGCAAGCCAUAAUCUGUUCAGACAAUGUCACUGUUAGAAUUAUUUUAAAUAAAAGAAAAUGCAGUUUUAGAGGUGUGAGGGGGGAUUUACACUAUAUAAC